GUCUAUGGCCACGCUACCCUGAACAAGCCCAAUCUUGUCUGAUCUCAGAAGCUAAGCAGAGUCAGGCCUGGUUAGUACUCAGAUGGGAGACCACCUAAUAAGACCAGGUACUGUAGGCA
rnacentral:rRNA from 1 species